rnacentral:rRNA from 1 species
GGGUGCAAACGUUGUUCGGAAUUACUGGGCGUAAAGCGCGUGUAGGCUGCUCCGCAAGUCGGGUGUGAAAGCCCUGGGCUCAACCUAGGAAGUGCACUCGAAACUGCAGAGCUGGAGUCCUGGAGAGGAAGGCGGAAUUCUCGGUGUAGAGGUGAAAUUCGUAGAUAUCGAGAGGAACACCAGAGGUGAAGACGGGUUGCUGGGCCGACACUGACGCUGACAGCGCGAAAGCCAGGGGAGCAAACGGG